rnacentral:lncRNA from 1 species
GAAGGCUUUCUGGAGGAGGUGUCUUUGGGCUGGGUCUGGUGGGGGCUGGGAUAGACCUCAUGGGAGGAAGUAAGGUCAGAGCUGGGAGAAGCCAGGAGCCUCUGUCUGGUGCUUUUUCAUCCCACACACAUAAGAAGGCCCUACUAUGCACCACGCCUGGUGCUAGCACUGGGCCACUGUCUAGAGGGGGAGACAGAUGCUCAUUGCAAUGGCGACCGUUUCCAGGAAGGAGAGAUUCAGGGGUGUUGGAGGGAUCACCAGGUGAGGGGGUCGGAGGAGGUGGCCCUGAGUGAGCUGUAUCGGUGUCUGAAGUGGGGAGGAAGAGCGCUGUGGGCAGAGGGAAGAGGGUGGAGCUCGGUGGUGGGAGGAAGCGGAGCACGUGGCACAGAGGCGCUGAGCACUCCCAAGGCUGCAACCCCGGGGAAGGGCCAGACCAUAGCUGUGAGUGCCAAAGAGGCAUUGAGGUUUCACUUGGGAGUCGAUGGGACACUACGAAAGGCAUGAAAGCGGGGUCAAAGGAGGCAGGGCUGGGGAGGUGAGGGCAGCGGUCAUGGGAGGAGGAAGUGCCCCCAGGGACUGGAGAAUGGGGUUUGUUGGGGGGUCGGAGGGAGGGGGACACAGCCAGGUGCCAGGGCCACAGUUCAAUUCAGGGUCUUUUUGAGCUCUGCGUGCUGAGCUCUCCUGGCCAGCAGCAGGCGGGUUAGGAUUGGGGUGGAGUUUGCUUUCAUUGUUAUUUCUGCUUUGUGGCCAUGGCUGUUGUUAUGUUUGUUAAAUGAAUGUGAAUGAUCCCUCUGCCUGGGCUCAUGGACUUGGAUCCCACCCCACACGCACCCACGCAAGCCUGAGCCCUGCCACGGCCUCCCCUUGCUCCACACAGCCUGGCACUGCCCUCAGCCCCACGGGCCUUCCUGUAGGCAGCAGCACCUUGUACACUGGGCCAGUGACUUGGGGGCCCCCAGGUGUGUACUCCUGUAUCCCCCUGUUCUGUUCUCAGCUUCUCACCACCCCCACAUUUGCUCCCUCCACCCCAACUCUUGUUCUCAUGGAGCCCUGCCCUCUCUCUUCCUGCAGGCCCUGACCUGCUGGGGACCCUCCCGUAAGAGCUUCACCAGUGAUUGGGAGCUGAGCUCUUGUCCUCAAAGGCAGGGGAGGGAGAGAGGGCAAGGGGACCCCAACCCUGUGAAGUCACUGGUGCAGAUGGAGUUGCCCUGUAGGCUGUGGGGUUAGGAGGGGUGGUGGGCAGGGCUGGCUGUGUUUCCCAGGCCUCAGGGUGGGCUUGCCUCAACCAGGCACCUUCGCAGCCAGGGCUGAAGCACCUGUAAUCCCGCCUUCCUCAGGACAAGUGAAGGACGCAUCUAGGGAUUCAUUCUUUCAUUUCACAGAUAUUUAUUGCACAUGGUGCCGGAGAAUGGCUAUGAGCAAGACAGAGGUGGUCUCUGUUCUCAAGGCAGCUACAGAGGGACAGCCACUCCCCCAGCCCCCAACUAUGAGCUUCCCAGAACUGGCCUGAAGGUGCAGCUGCAAUGAUACGGGCUCACAUCCUGGCAUCCUCAUUUGCUAGCGUGAAAAUCGCAUUUCUCCAAACCUCGGUUUUCUCAUCUGAAAAACAGGCACAGCACCUAGUUUGCAGGACUGGGAAAGUUACAGAGGGUUAAUGGCAAUGCGGUUGGCCUUGGGCACUCCUUGUUCUGACCUCUGGAGUUCGGCUGCCCUGUGGUCUGGCCCUGGCUCUGUGGAGAGGCUUUCCCAGGCCGAGGGGCUCACCAGGCCUUCCCUAGUGAGGAGCUCUUUCUGCCAGAGCUGAGCUCAUGGGCAGGGCGGGGCGCAGAGGCCACAUAUCAGCCAGCUGUCCUCCCUUUCCUGGGAGCUGGUCCAGAGACGAGGGGCAGGGCGUCUGGUUUUCAUUGUGCGGCCGUCUCUAAUUCCUCUGGCAUCUGAGCUACUUUUCAGAAGGAGGGAGAUGCACUUAACUGGUUGUGACCCAGCUUGGUGCUGAGGAAGAAGCCCUGGGCCUGGGAUCAAGCAGAGUUGAACUCGAAGCCUGCCUCAGCCACUUACCUGCUGUGUGACGCGGAGCUGGCACGAAGGAGGCUUCCUGUCUGAAGGAGCUGGUGCAGACACACCGGUGGGGCACCCGGCAGAACAACAGCAGAAGAUCUGCAAUCACACGAACUGGCUGCCUGUUCUCUACACGAGUCCAAAUGCUGUCAGGCUCAUUUCUCUGUUUGACAGUGAGCCAUGGACAAGCUGUGGGGCAAAAGCAAGAACUGUACGUGGUCUCCAUUUACAGAACUCCCAGGCUGGUGGAGGUGGCUUUUGGUACAACUCAGGUCUGAGGGCAAAAAUACACACUUUGGCUUUGCACAAAGGGGCUGACGACCCCAUACGUACCCUAGCACCUGGGCUGCCCAGCUAAAGAGGUCAAGUGGCCACAAGCUGAGCCUACGGUAAUCUUUAAUAACUAGAGUAAAUUUCCUUGUGAACUGGAGAAUUGGUAAGACAAGCUCAAAACCAGAUCUUCCAACUGGCCUCCCUAUCCCCCAGCUCCCUCCUUCCUUUUUUCUAUCUCCUUAGCGAUUGUUGUCUUCUCCAAAGGGUCUCCCCUUUCCAAACCCCAACAUGAUUCUGUUUUGCCUCCUGUUAUGGACUGAAUUCUGUCCUCUCCCAAAUUCACAUGCUGAAGCCCUAACCCCCAGUACCUCAGCAUGUGAGUGUAUUUGGAGACAGGGCCUUUGAAGAGGUGAUUAAGGUUAAAUGAGGUCAUUAGGGUGGACCUUAAUCUAAUAUUAUAAUUUACAUAUUAUAUAUAAUAUAUAUUAUAAAUUAUAAAUUAUAUAUCAUAUAUUUUUAUAUAAUAUAUAAUAUAUACAAUAUAUGAUAUAUAAUAUAUAGUAUAUAAUAUAUAACAAAUUAUAUAUAAUACAUAAAAUAUAUAAUAUUAUAUAUCAUAUAUUAUAUAUAAUAGUAUAUAUAUUUAUAUGAUAUAUAAUAUAUAUGUAUUAUAUAAAUGUUAUAUAUUUUAUUAUAUAUAAUAUAUAUGUAAAUUAUAAUAUAUAUUAUAUAUUGUAUAAAUUAUAAUAUAUAAUAAAUAUACCAUAUUAGAUAUAUUGUAACUUAUAUAUUAUAUAAUUUAUAUAUUAUAAUAUAUAAAUUAUAUCUAAUAUGGUGUCCUCAUAAGAAGAGGGGAUUAGGACAUAUAGAGACAGAUGGCAGGGCUGUGCACGUACAGAGGAAAGACCAUGUGAGGACACAGUGAGAAGAUGGCCAGCUAUUACACAAGCCAUGGAGAGAGGCCUCGGGAGACACCAACGUGGCCGACACCUUGAUCUUGGACUUUUAGCCUCCAGAGCUGAGAAAAUAUUAAUAAAUUUCUGUUGGUUAAGUCACUUAGUCUGUGGAAUCGUGUUGUGGCAAUCUUCAACUAAUACACCUCCUAAUAAAAUACUUGUUUCUAAAGGGGGAGUUGUUGCAUGUUGAGGUUUUUACUGUGCACCUCUGUCUGGGGUGAAUGCUGGCAAACUGCAGGAAGACUGCGCCAUAAACCCUAUCAUGGUUUGGCUUCUUCCUUGACCCACUCAGAAAAAGUUCAGUUCUUCUGAAAAACUCACGAGUACUCCACAAGGUGGCACAUAUCACCCUCCACACCAUCCUCAUCUCGAGGUCUCUGUAGUACACCUGAGACCAAGGGGGGAGCUCGUGUACAUUCUGGUCUUUGUCAACAGUGACUCCCAACCACACCCUUAUUCUUUCAAAAUAUAUUUUAUUAGCGGCACAUGGAAUGUCAAGUUAAGCAAAUUCUUUCCAGAGAGAAGGUGAGCCUGACAGACUAAAACGUUGAGCACGGAUGAUACAGCAGAAAUAACAUUUCCAGUGUAAUGAGAGAUAAAGAGGAAUACUGCCCACCGAGGAAAUGACUUUCUUCACCAUGCUGACCACACUGCACAGCGCCCGAUCCGGCUGGUGAGGAUGGGGAGGUGGGAAGAAUCUCAAAGCACUGGACAGGGUGAGGACUCAGGAAGUCACGGGGUCAGCCCUACAGCAUCAGCUCCUCUCUGUUGUUGGAGAGGCCCUGAGCCCCAUUACUCACUAUACGAGGACCAGAGUGUCUUUGGCAGGUGGAGGCUGGCUCACGGGAGAACACCAAGUGAGGGGGCUCCUCUGUGAACCCAAGAAACUUCAAGGAACCCCACAGCGUCUCCCUUAUGACCUCCCAUCUCCAGAUUAGGAAGCUAUGGAUUCCCAGAGGGUCCUUUGGAAGUAUCUAGAAAUGUCCAGGGUGAGUCUAGCCAGGUUCACCUUCAGGAUGCUUUCCCCAUGCCCUGUGGUUGAGACGGCUCCGAUGUCAUUGUCGGCAUAACCUCCAGCUCCUGCUCAAAAAGGGUGAUUGUUCUGAGCAGUAACAGUCAAGAAAUUCAAAUCCAUAUUAGAAGUCGGACGCUACAUGAAAGUUAAAUCGCGAAGGGUGCUCAAGUACCGACAAAGGUCAGGUUAGUAGCCAUGAUCUGCGGAGGCAAAGGUGGACUAGAAAGCGUCAUGUAGAUGCCCCAGAAUUUAGGAGGAUAAAGGGAGCCUCAGAGGGGCAGGCCUGACCUUUCACAGAGCAGCUACAGCAGGACAGCAUCUCCUUGGCCCCAAAGCACAGCCAUUCCUUUUUGCUCAAUGAAGCCACCCUCUCCCUGUCUCCUCCUCAUGCCCCACACACUAUGGAGGAAGAAACAGCAUGACUGCAUUAUAUGGAUCUCUAGCAAGGCCAUCAUGUUCCAGUGAUUUGGGGAAAAUGAUACCCACAACCUAACAUCCAUGCACACUGUCUAAUGGAGGGCAGUUAUAUUUGUUGAGGGUGGGCAUAAUUGGACCUGAGGGAACUAUUCUGGGCUAUCCACUUAAGUGGGGGUCUGGAGUGAAAGCUACUUUGAUAAGAUUUCUUCCUUAUUUUGGGCUUGGAUUAAGCAACCUUACAGCCUUCUCUGAGUCAUUCUUGUAUCUGUUCACACACAGCUACCAGCCUCAGAGUCCUUUAGCCUUGGAAGGAUUCGCCUUUACCCUCCCACAGUUGAUACAGAAGCACAGAAGAUUGACAUUUGCCUUACUUAUUGAUGCUGGACAUGGGGCAAGGACUCAGGAGUUGAGAUGCUGCAUUGGAUUGUCACAAGGCCCCAGAGGUUCUCAAAGGCAGAUAAUCCCUGGCUCUGGUUCUGGAGGGAGCUGACACUGGACAGCCAAUGAACUGCUGCAGUGGGAGGAGGCGCCUUUACUUUUUCUUAUAAGCUUCUGCUGGGGAAUUAACUGACCGGGUUCCAUGGUGUCAAAGUGCCCUAAUAUUUGGAAGCAGCCAAGUCUUUGCUUACUUUUCAGUUACUCUAGGACCACAGAAGGCCAGGUGUCUCCAAGGGUGGUCCUGGCACAGGCAUCGGGCGUGUGAAGCUGUCCUCCCCGCCACAUGCACUUCUCAGGACAAGUGCAUUGCCUGAGGUGACCACUGCUGAGCCUAGUACCGUCCCCCAUGACUGUCCAGGCAGGGGCCUGGCCAGUGGCAGUGCUCCUUGGGGAGGCUCCUCAGAAGGCCAGGCAGAGCACACCUGGUGCUCACAGCUGGACAGAGAGUUCUGAGAAUUUAGCUUAUGCCUUUUCUUGUCAAGAUUUACCACUGUAACUCAAGCUUAAAAUUAAUUUCUAGGAUCUAACCUGGAGUGGCCCUGUGGCCUGGUCUGAACGCAGCUGAAGCAAGCUGCACUACUGACCAGGCACAGUUUGGUGGGAUUUUUGCCAAGGAGAAAGAAAGGUAGACUACUUCACAUCUCUUGGGUGAUAUACCAAGGAGAAGAGGAGUUACCAAGCCUCUACUCUUUUUAAGGAAGCUUCCAGUGUCUCUGAGUUCAUGACAGAAAAAGGGUAUCAAGAAUUGUCGAGAGUGUAGAUUAUUACUAAAGACUAGAGCAACACAUUAAAAAGGGAAGGUAGGGCUAGUUUUCCUCUAAAAGAAUAAGCUGCUCUUUAGGGCAGAUGGAACAAUUUAGCUGCUUCUCAAAACUUCAGUCACCUGUGGGGGUUCAUGAGGAUUCCUGCAUGACAAGUGUGAAAGUCUGCACGGAGUGAAACAUACAGCCCCCCAGCCCUGCCUCUCACCCACUCCUGGGAAUGAGAUGGCGUGCUUCC